UUUUUUGUUUUUUUUUUUUUUUUGGUUUUUAGGUUUUUCAAGGCAUGAAGGGUCAAUCUGAGAAGACGAAGGUGGUGGUGCGCCACUUGCCACCGACGAUUUCUCAGGUCACUUUAAUGGAGCAAAUCGACGUUGCUUUUGCUCGGCGUUAUAACUGGGUGUCGUUUCGUCCUGGCAAGAACAGCCAGAAGCAUCAAUCCUAUUCUAGAGCCUACAUUGACUUCAAAAGGCCAGAAGAUGUUAUUGAGUUUGCAGAAUUUUUUAAUGGCCAUCUCUUUGUCAAUGAGAAGGGCACUCAGUUUAGAGCUAUUGUUGAGUAUGCUCCUUCACAGGGUGUUCCAAAGCAGUGGUCUAAGAAGGAUGGUCGAGAAGGCACCAUAUUAAAAGAUCCUGCUUAUUUGGAGUUCCUGGAAUUAAUAUCAAAGCCUGCUGAGAAUCUUCCCAGUGCAGAGAUACAAUUGGAAAGAAGAGAAGCUGAAAGAGCUGGUGCUACUAAAGAUGCUCCUAUUAUUACACCCUUAAUGGACUUUGUCCGUCAGAAAAGAGCUGCAAAAAGUGGAUCCCGGAGAAUAUUGGCUAAUGGGAAACUUAGCAGAAGGGCUGGUGCAAGUGGAAGUCCUAGCUCAUCCUCAUCCAAACGAAGUUCUGACAAGAAGAGGGUUUCGACCACAAUGGUAUUCAUGGUUAUAACUUGUAACUAUAUUAUGUCAUGAGGGCAUACUGAGAUUCAUGUUUUUAGAGUAUGUUUUAAGGGACUCAGCAAAAAACACAAGUGCAAAAGACAAAUCAACUUACAUUUUGGUUCCUAAGCGAGAUGAUCAGCAUCUUUCUGAUAAUGCUGUUGCUUUAGCUUCUGCAUCAGUAACUGAAGUAUUGGAAGAUGAAAGUGGAAUUUCUGGAAUUACUGAUGCUGGGAAAAAGAAAAUCCUGCUGCUGAAAGGGAAAGAGAAAGAAAUUCCAACAAAUGCAGCAUCAUUUGAUAGAAAUCUGACUAGCUCUGCUCUCAAACAGAGCCAGCGAC
rnacentral:misc_RNA from 1 species